CUGGGAACUGCAUUCGAAACUGGCAGGCUAGAGUCUUGUAGAGGGGGGKAGAAUUCCAGGUGUAGCGGUGAAAUGCGUAGAGAUCUGGAGGAAUACCGGUGGCGAAGGCGGCCCCCUGGACAAAGACUGACGCUCAGGCGCGAAAGCGUGGGGAGCAAACAGGAUUAGAUACCCUGGUAGUCCACGCCGKAAACGAUGUCGACUUGGAGGUUGUGCCCUUGAGGCGUGGCUUCCGGAGCUAACGCGUUAAGUCGACCGCCUGGGGAGUACGGCCGCAAGGUUAAAACUCRAAUGAAUUGACGGGGGCCCGCACAAGCGGUGGAGCAUGUGGUUUAAUUCGAUGCAACGCGAAGAACCUUACCUACUCUUGACAUCCAGAGAACUUUSCAGAGAUGGAUUGGUGCCUUCGGGAACUCUGAGACAGGUGCUGCAUGGCUGUCGUCAGCUCGUGUUGUGAAAUGUUGGGUUAAGUCCCGCAACGAGCGCAACCCUUAUCCUUUGUUGCCAGCGGUCCGGCCGGGAACUCAAAGGAGACUGCCAGUGAUAAACUGGA
rnacentral:rRNA from 1 species